rnacentral:rRNA from 1 species
ACUUGAAUGAUUUCGAGUGCUACUCGCACUCGAAGGUGUCGGAGGGGAGCCGUUAAGCUCGCCGCCUGGGGAGUACGGUCGCAAGGCUGAAUUGUCGGCGAUGUCUUUCGCCGGCACAGUUCACUUAAAGGAAUUGGCGGGGGAGCACCACAAGGGGUGAAGCCUGCGGUUCAAUUGGAGUCAACGCCAGGAAACUUACCAGGAGAGACAGCAGGAUGAGGGUCAGGCUGAAGACUUUACCUGACGAGCUGAGAGGAAGUGCAUGGCAAGGGAAAA